AGAAUCAACGCUGGCGGCGUGCCUAACACAUGCAAGUCGCACGAGAAAGGGGAGCAAUCCCUGAGUACAGUGGGCGCACGGGUGAGUAACACGUGAAUCAUCUACCUCCGAGUGGGGAAUAACUGAGAGAAAUCUUAGCUAAUACCGCAUAAUACCCACGGGUCAAAGCAGCAAUGCGCUUGGAGAGGAGUUCGCGGCAGAUUAGUUAGUUGGCGGGGUAAUGGCCCACCAAGACGAUGAUCUGUA
rnacentral:rRNA from 1 species